UGGUCUACAUUAGCUCCAUUGUCCUGCCUC
rnacentral:piRNA from 1 species